ACACACACACAUAUAUACACACACACACACACACACACACACACACACACACACACACACACACACACACACACACACACACACACAAGCACUGAUAAAACUCCUUCACAUCACUCCUCCACCACCGUCACACACUGAUAGGCAGCUCUUUGAAUUCCUGGACCCUGUCUCUACUCUACUACCCAUAGGCAUGUCAACCUGGUUGAAUUCCUGGACCCUGUCUCUACUCUACUACCCAUAGGCAUGUCAACCUGGUUGAAUUCCUGGACCCUGUCUCUACUCUACUACCCAUGGGCAUGUCAACCUGGUUGAAUUCCUGGACCCUGUCUCUACUCUACUACCCAUAGGCAUGUCAACCUGGUUGAAUUCCUGGACCCUGUCUCUACUCUACUACCCAUAGGCAUGUCAACCUGGUUGAAUUCCUGGACCCUGUCUCUACUCUACUACCCAUAGGCAUGUCAACCUGGUUGAAUUCCUGGACCCUGUCUCUACCUUACUACCCAUAGGCAUGUCAACCUGGCUGUGAGACUGAAAAAAAGAAUGUGUGAUUUCAAGAUACGAAGAAGUAGAGCAUGAGAUUUACUCUUUAGGUUUUUUUUAUUUUUAUUUAAUUUGACCUUUUUUUUUUUUAUGCGCAGCUCUAAAGUCACCUGGCUCUUUGAUUGGUCUGCCUGUUUGUCUACAGAGAUACUGAAGGGUGGAUCUGACGCACUGAGGGGUCAAUGUUAGAGACAAUGUUAGGCAAGAAUAUAUUUAUAUUCACUGCUUAAUUGCCAUAGAAACAAUGAUAUGGUAGUGUACAGAUGAGAGGUAGGUAGCCUAUGCCAGUGUCUCCCAACUCCGUACCCCCAACAGCGCACAUUGUUGUUUUAGCCCAGGACAAAACACCUGAUUCAACUUGUCAAGGGCUUGAUGAUUAGUUAACAAGUAGAAUCAGGUGUGCUUGUCCAGGGCCACAACAAAAAUAUUUAUUGUUGUGGGUACUGGAGGAUGGGACCUGAGAAACACUGGCCUAGGUUGAGGGCGCACUGAACGGAGAGGCACUUACUGAACCAAAUUUCACAUCUUGACAUAACAUUUUAGAAUAUGACAUUUAAAAAAUAUAUUUUUCAUAUGUUAAAGAUGAACAAUACAGAAUUUGUUUGAAUUUAUUGUAGUACUGGUAUGUGCCUUGACAUCUGUAUAAUAUUGAGUGAAUAUAUAUAAUUAUAAUUAAGAAUGUCAAUAAUAUUGUUUACUGUUUAUUUAAAAAAUAAAAGAAGGAAUGAAUGAAAGAAAGAAAUUUGGCAUUUUAACAAAAACACCUUGUGUAAAUACUGAAAGACUGUGUACAGUUUAGUACUAUAAUUUAUUACCUGUUUGUUGUUUAAUCAAUAACACCAUGUUGAAGGUUGUUGUUGUUUAAUUAAUAACACCAUGUUGAAGGUUGUUGUUUAAUCAAUAACACCAUGUUGAAGGUUGUUGUUUAAUCAAUAACACCAUGUUGAAGGUUGUUGUUGUUUAAUCAAUAACACCAUGUUGAAGGUUGUUGUUGUUUAAUCAAUAACACCAUGUUGAAGUUGUUGUUUAAUUAAUAACACCAUGUUGAAGGGUUGUUGUUUAAUUAAUAACACCAUGUUGAAGGUUGAUGUUGUUUAAUCAAUAACACCAUGUUGAAGGUUGUUGUUUAAUCAAUAACACCAUGUUGAAGGUUGUUGUUUAAUCAAUAACACCAUGUUGAAGGUUGAUGUUGUUUAAUCAAUAACACCAUGUUGAAGGUUGUUGUUUAAUCAAUAACACCAUGUUGAAGGUUGUUGUUUAAUCAAUAACACCAUGUUGAAGGUUGUUGUUGUUUAAUCAAUAACACCAUGUUGAAGGUUGAUGUUGUUUAAUCAAUAACACCAUGUUGAAGGUUGAUGUUGUUUAAUUAAUAACACCAUGUUGAAGGUUGUUGUUUAAUUAAUAACACCAUGUUGAAGGUUGUUGUUGUUUAAUCAAUAACACCAUGUUGAAGGUUGUUGUUUAAUCAAUAACACCAUGUUGAAGGUUGUUGUUGUUUAAUCAAUAACACCAUGUUGAAGGUUGUUGUUUAAUCAAUAACACCAUGUUGAAGGUUGUUGUUUAAUCAAUAACAUCAUGUUGAAGGUUGUUGUUUAAUCAAUAACACCAUGUUGAAGGUUGAUGUUGUUUAAUUAAUAACACCAUGUUGAAGGUUGUUGUUUAAUUAAUAACACCAUGUUGAAGGUUGUUGUUUAAUCAAUAACACCAUGUUGAAGGUUGUUGUUUAAUCAAUAACACCAUGUUGAAGGUUGUUGUUGUUUAAUCAAUAACACCAUGUUGAAGUUUGUUGUUUAAUCAAUAACACCAUGUUGAAGGUUGUUGUUUAAUCAAUAACACCAUGUUGAAGGUUGUUGUUGUUUCAUCAAUAACACCAUGUUGAAGGUUGAUGUUGUUUAAUCAAUAACACCAUGUUGAAGGUUGUUGUUUAAUCAAUAACACCAUGUUGAAGGUUGUUGUUGUUUAAUCAAUAACACCAUGUUGAAGGUUGUUGUUGUUUAAUCAAUAACACCAUGUUGAAGGUUGUUGUUUAAUCAAUAACACCAUGUUGAAGGUUGUUGUUGUUUAAUCAAUAACACCAUGUUGAAGGUUGUUGUUUAAUCAAUAACACCAUGUUGAAGGUUGUUGUUUAAUCAAUAACACCAUGUUGAAGGGUUGUUGUUUAAUCAAUAACACCAUGUUGAAGGUUGUUGUUGUUUAAUCAAUAACACCAUGUUGAAGGUUGUUGUUGUUUAAUCAAUAACACCAUGUUGAAGGUUGUUGUUUAAUUAAUAACACCAUGUUGAAGGUUGAUGUUUAGUCAAUAACACCAUGUUGAAGGUUGUUGUUGUAUUAUACUGUAUCAUACUUCUUUUUCACUGUAACCACCUGGCCAAGAUACAAGUGAGUUCCUAUUUGUUGCACUUUUGUCUAUAUCCAAUUAAAGAAAUUAUAUUUUUUAUACAUAAA